GUUGGUUUAAUUCGAUGAUACGCGAGGAACCUUACCUGGGCUUAAAUGGGGAGUGACAGCUGUCGAAAGAUGGUUUUCUUCGGACACUCUUCAAGGUGCUGCAUGGUUGUCGUCAGCUCGUGCCGUGAGGUGUCGGGUUAAGUCCCAUAACGAGCGCAACCCUUACCGUUAGUUACCAUCAGGUUAAGCUGGGGACUCUAGCGGGACUGCCACCGUAAGGUGAGAGGAAGGUGGGGAUGACGUCAAAUCAGCACGGCCCUUAUGUCCAGGGCUACACACGUGUUACAAUGGCCAGUACAAAGGGCAGCUACCGGGUGACCGGAUGCUAAUCUCUAAAGCUGGUCUCAGUUCGGAUCGAAGUCUGCAACCCGACUUCGUGAAGCUGGAUUCGCUAGUAAUCGCGCAUCAGCCAUGGCGCGGUGAAUACGUUCCCGGGCCUU
rnacentral:rRNA from 1 species